rnacentral:misc_RNA from 1 species
CUCGUCCUAACUUGGGCGUGUGCCCUUUCAACUCCCUCUGCCGUGUCUCCGGCUCUGCCCGUGUGUGCGUCUGUGCCUGUGCAUCGGGGCUAUCGGUUAAAUCGUACUAACGACGUCCGGCUUGAGGCAGAGCACACACACGGCCUUCUUGUUUUGGUGCACGCUUUUGUACUUGAUCGAGCUUGUUGUGCAGCUGUGCCUCACUCUUUUUCGCUUUUCCUUUGCACUAUCCACUGCCCCCAACCCACGCACGUAGGUAGGCAUAUCCCCGUCCAUUCACGGUGACACGCACGGAGGUAGGUGCCGUCAUAGAGCGCGCCCAGCGGCUUGUCUCACGCAGUUCGGCAUCAGUGGCACGACGUCGAGGUGCGCGUGUCUCCGCUCGUGCGGCUUUGCCAUCUCCAUCGUCUCCCCUCGCCUUUCUUUCUGCAACUCAGCAGAGCGGUCCCUGGGGUGGGACGGUAACCGUGUGCAGUCUCUACCCCUCUUCCCUCCCGCUUGCCGAUGAAGCGUUUCCGUGAGGAGGCGGACGCGGCCUCGGAACGCGCGGGAGCGCAUGAUGCUUCCGACGUUACCUCUGCCGUCCGAAGCUCGUCGUCGUCUCCCUACGCGUUGUAUUUCGAGGUCAUCUUUGGCAUCACCUCCCGUCGAAGUGGAUCACUGGAGGCGGAACGGGCGGCACUCGUGUCGCGGCUUCUCGGUGCCACCACCGCCACUCCCACGUCAACAACUCAGACCUUGUCUCAUGCGAGCGCCUCGGUGACAGCGGUGGACGUUGCGACGCUGAUGGAAGAUGACAUUUCUGUCUGUCUGGGUGGCUUCACAAAGGAGCUGGUGUAUCAGCAGCUUCUCCACUGCAGUGAGGAAGGGUCCCUGCUGCGCUUGCUCACCGUGGAGCUGGUGGCGAACGAUGGCCGCACGCUGGUACUCGCCGCUCCGCAACCUUCAACAGCGGAGAGCGACGCAGCCAGCUCCUCGUCGUUGCUUAUGGACGUCGCCGGCGCUGGCGGGGAAUCCGCUAUGCAGCCGGCAGCGACAGGAGACGCUGCCGUCGCACAUCCCGCCGAUCUGUUGCUCCUUCGCUGCCAGCCGAGGCGACCCUCGGAGAACGCCGCCAAGGCGUCCGCCACUGCCAGUGAUAGCGGAGCGGCAUCGGGUGCGGCUUGGGCGACGCACCAGGAAUUCAUAACAUACAACACAUCUCUUUUCACGGCCUCAGAUGUCGAUCUCUGGCGUGAGGCGGUGGAGGGGAGCAUAGCGGUCGUGGUACGCUGGCUGGCGACGCUACUGGAGCAGCCACCGGGUCUCGCGCAGCUGACAUUCCUCGAAGCAGCGGCAGCAUCUUCGUCACCUGGCGCUGGAGCCAACGCUGGCCGCGAGGGCUGGCGGCGCACGCUGCAGCUCCCGAUGCUGCUAAGCAUUAAACCGGACGCCAUGCGCGGCGCCGAUGCGAAGACGCUCGACCGACUGCGGCGCACCGUCAGCUUUGCGUUGCGCGCCCUACUCGCCGUGUUCCUGCACGUGGAGUCGGCUAUGCGCCUGCCGCGGCUGUGCCACCGGUUGGUAUAUCUCUUUCUCGCGUCUCCGCUGUAUGUGGACGGGGCUUCGCAGGUGGCGAUGCAGCUGAUUGCCGCGGAUUCCGUCGCGUCUACCAGGCAGCUGAUGACGAACACACUGCACUCCUGCCUACUUCUGGGGCUACAGUACGCGAGCAGUAGCGCUGCUGUUUCGAUGGACGCCUCUCUCGCCACAGCCGAGGUGCGACGCAGCGCUCGGCAAGCCUGCAACGGUGUGGAGCUGGUCCUCGCCCGCCUCUCUCAUGUGUGGUUGCAGCAGUCCCACAGCGGGCGCAGCAAAGAAGCGGCGAUGGAUGUGAGUGGGUCGGAGGAGGCGAUCUCCGAGGUGCUCGAAGCGGUGGCUGCCACCGGCAUCUUGAAGGAGGUGCUGCGCUGGCUGCAGCUCGAGGACGAUGUGCGACGCUCGCACGACCGCUUGGACGCUAACCGCAGCGGCGCCAGCGACGACGUGACAGACACUCUUGCAGAGCUUCUUGUUCCGCCCACCCUACAACGCAUCCAAGACGGGUGGCACUUGCAAGAUCGUGCGGUGGUGGAGCAGUUGACGGCUCUGCGGCGCACCUACAAUCCGUACCUCAGCCGCGAGGUCCAGCAGUUUAUCCGCGGCACUGCGCUGGCAGCCUACGCUGAACUAUACAGCAGCACCGCUCGCGCGGUGCGACGCGUGACCAAGCUGUCUGACGGCUCGGAGGAGCUGGGCAGAGGUCGUGUCGAGGGCGUCAUAGCUGUGCGUGUGAGCGGCGUGGAGGCUGUGGGCCCGCGGUCUGGCGGGCUGGCGGAGUAUUCGCUGGCAGAGGUGCAGCACUACGCAGCCUUUGGUCUGCCGGUUCACUUGUGUGUGCAAGGCUCUCGCGAUCGGCGGCACCAAGAAGAGAUAAAGGCGCUCGUGUCAGCGCUGCAGUCGGCCCGAGUGUCCGACACGGAUUCCUCCCUCUUCGCCUAUGCCUUGGUACAGCUCAAUGGCCAGUGGGCUAUAUUUCCAUUGGUGCUCACGCACGUGACAAGUGACCGCUCGGCUGGGGAAAAGGGCAGCAGCGCCUCCACCGCCUCUUCUCGAGUGACGGCACACGUGCUGCGUGAUGCGGACAUGCUCACAGACUUCGUCCUUACGAGCGCCGCGGCUGCAGAGGAUGGGCAGGCGCGGGCGUGGAUCGUGUUAGGGGCUGAGGCGGCGGGGCAUCAGCGACGCGGCUCUCGACGUCGGCGCGCGGCCUUGCUCUCUGCACCCGCCGCUGCGCCGCCGGAGCGGCUCCUUCCAACCGGCACGCCAGCCCUGACGUACCUUGACUGCCUCCGUCGCCUUCACGCCUUGUCCCUCAGUGUACGGCAGGCGGAGGCGGGCGUGAACAGCAAGGGCCGCAUCAAUACUGCGAACAGUCGCGGCGGCAGCCGCAGCUCAGGCCAGCCGUUUGGCGCGGACGCGGUGUCGGGUCUGUGGACCGAGCACUUCACAGAUGGUGCUGUCCCGAUGCAGCGCUACGCGUCAUCUCUCACAGCUCCAGUCGCUGCCCUGCUGUCUGGCUCCGGCAACGGGAUAGAUGCCGCCGUGUCUUCGACGUCGUCUGGCGCGAGCGGAAAGCGGCUGGGAGAUGCGACGCUCACCUCACUGCAGACCCUUCUGGCCUCGGUAAACGAGGCGGUCGGCUUCUCCUCAGCACAGGUUGAAGCUCUCCACUCCCUCACCGCCGGCACCGGCCUCUCCAGAAACUGCACCGGCGCCGCGGCGCAAGGGAGCAGCGGGGUGCCUGUCUCGGUGAGGGUGGUCGAUGGGUGUACGGGGAGUGGCAAAACCGCUGUUCUCUACGCCUCAGCGCUGGUGCGCGGCAAGCUGCACGCAGCCGCGCGCCAGGAGCAGCAGCGCAGCGUGCAGGGCGGCAUCAAGCACGCGAUGGCGUCGGUUAAGCAGAUCGUCGCUGCGCUGCGUUGCGCCACUGUGGAGGAGCUCUUCUCCACCUAUGCCGGCGGACGCGCCGGGGGCAGCUUGUUGGAUGAGGCGAGCCUCAUCGUGGCAGAGGCUCGUCGACUGUACCAGCAGCUCAACGAGGGGUUCCUGUACUGUUCCACACCGCUGCUGCUGCGUCCCGCCGUCGCCACGUCCACCGUGCCGGCCUCGGUUGCCCAGUUUCUCUUCAGUUCCAGCAAAGACCUCAUGGACGAGGAGCAGGAGAGGGGGAGGCGGAGCGGCGCACGCAACACGCAGGUAGCGUGGCAAUUAAGCGAUAUUGCCUCUCUCGCAGCUCUGGUUAAGGAGUCGCACACGCGGUCUCUCAACGCCCCACUAACAACGCAGCUCAACACGGAGUUGCGCCGCCUUGAGGCUACCGGCUUGUGGAGCGGCGGAUGCCGUGCCGCAGUGUCGGUGGCUGCGCCGCUGCUCUCGUUGACGCUGUCUGCGCGUGACGCGGCGGAUUUGGUGGCCCGCGCGAGUAAGUCUUCUGCGCCUGCGCAAAGCUGGGCGGAGUUCAUCGUGAGGGACUUCUGGCCGGAUUGCGACGUGGCCACGUCCCUCUACCUCGUUGCCUCCGCUGCUCAUGGCGGAGCCUCUUCAACGACGUGGGAGUCGCUGAACGCCGCACCAGAGGGGCGGUACGCACCGGUUACGAUGCCGCCUACCACGCGCCUCUCCUCGUUAUCUAAGGAGCAGCUGGAGGGGUGGCACAUCGUGUACCUUGAGAAGCAGAGUGAGCUAGCGCAGCACAUCCACGCUGCCGUUCACGAAUCUGUCAAGUCGCUCUUCCAGUCCUUUCUGGAUCUGGUCUGGGGCGUAGCAGCCACUUCGCAGAGCACUCGACACACUGUCCUGACCAGCACCCCGACGGAGCUGACGCAGGGGCUGCUGCUGCCGUACCUUUGGUGCUGGCAGCCAUCGCACAUGUGCAUCGACGACAUCGACGCGGUGCAGGACAGCAUUUUCGCAAUGCUUACCCCUGUGUCCAGCUUCGUCUACUCGCUCACCUCUGAGGUGCCAGCCUUUCAAGAGCGUCGCCGAUCGCAUGAGCGCAUUGUGCUGGCGUUGCUGCGGUCACUGCACACGGAGCUGAAGCGCACUGGCGACCUCACCACCACAGUUCUACGUGACUCGCUGCGAUGCCGCCGUGCGGAGGUGCAGGCGCUGCUGCGCUACACUAUCGAGGAUGCCCGGGCUCUAGCCAAGGUCACAGAGGAGCCGGCGAACAGUGAAGGCGAUGACGCCCAGCAAGCCGGAGAAGACGGCGAAGUGUCGGGGCGGCUCCAGGGAGUCACCGACACCGCCUCACCGCCCCCGGCAUUUCUCGGACUGGCCUCUCACAGCGCGGUGGAGGUGUGGAGCCAUGGUGCUUCGCUGGAUAAUUGCGUUGCUGCCGACGCAGCUGCAGCGGUGUUUCUCAUGGAGUAUCUCUCCAGCUACCACCCUGUGCGUUGCGACGGCGCAUCGUCGAAGACGACGCCACCGGCGCAAACAUCUUUUGGCAUCUACACGAGCACCGCGGGCGAGGCGGAGACGAUCUCGGCGGCACUGUCGAGGUCCGCGCUCGCGUUAUCUCCCCAUUUCCGGCAGUCGGUGCGGGUGUGGAAGGAGUCACUGGAGGAUGCCGGCAACGAGGCCGUCUCUCCGGCGUCCGCGGUGACGACAGCGCCGCCAGCGGUGACCACGACCAUGUCUUACACUAGCCUUGAAGAGGCGGAGUGUGAGGCGGAGGUGGGCAUUGUGUGCCUCUCCGGCCUGCUCGAGGUAGUGAUUGCUGCGCUGCAUAAGAGUCGCGGCGGCACCUCUGGCACCGUCGCCGACGGCGGAAGCCAUCGGCCAGACGUGCGGCAUGAGCAGUGGCAGCAACUUUGGGCAGAGUCUUCUGACGGAUCCGCGUCGCUCUUUGUGACACGCCUGCAGUGGUGGCUGUGGCGACUGCUGCGACGAGUGCGCCAUGGCGUGUUUCUUAUCGGCAGCCGCGAGCUGUUCGCCUGCAUCCCACUGUUCGCCAAGGCCGAGUCUCUCGUGCAGCGUCAGCGGCGCCUACUGGCACCGAAGGAUCAUCGGGGGUACUGGCUGCCCUCUGAGGUGGGGGCCAGCGUGCUGGCGAUGGUGUGCCCAGACCACUUCAAGUGUCGCCGUAUCGCCGUUGUGCGGGAGCACGACGACGCCAAAGCUGCUGCAGCGCCGGCGCCGGAAGGAGAAGAGGAGGAUGCGGACGCCGACGAGGAGCUCGUGACGGUUCAGGUGCAUGGCCCUACUGAGUGCCUCUCGCUCUGCCUGCAGGUGUACAACGCGUGCCCCAACUCUUCGCAUGCUUGCCUGAAACCGUGUCAUGCGCAGCACCGCAUCGGCACUGCGCACCUUGAAGAGAACGGCCGUACGACGACGAACGAGGUUACCCACGCGUCUUGCCCAUACCCCUGUGGCGCAUUGCUGCCGUGUGGCCACACGUGUCAUCGUGUCUGUAGUGCGUCGUGUGCGCCGUGCGCCUACACCGGUCUGACAGAGUUGACGUGCGGCCAGCGAGUGGUGAGCGGCACGGACAGCAACCAGGUGGUGCAGUACGCCUUUUUCCAUCAUUUCCAGGAACGUCGCUGCGGGGAGCCGACGGGACUCUGUCGCACGCCGGUCUCCGUCAUGUGUACACGCUGCGGCACCCGCUCCACGGUUGCGUGCCACUGCGUCACGGCGCACCUGUCACGCCGUCAGCGCGCUGCCGAAGAGGAGACCGUGCAGAGUGCCGUGGCCGACGACGGCACGUACAUGCUCGAGGAGACGGCGUGCGCUGGGUGUGUGGCGCUCUACAACAAGGUUGCAAAGAAGUUUGGGUACGAGCUUCUCGCUACGCCACCGGUAGACCACGCGCAGAGCGGCCAUCACGGCCCCAUGGCAGGACACCCGCACGGCGGCGCAGAUGCGGACGACGGCGACGAGGAGGAGGACAGCGAGGUGAUGGGCACCGCGCUCCCACGUCAUCUCCUCUCCACCGAGGCUCAGACGGAGCUUCGCCGCGAGUUCACCAUCGCUAGCAAGAAGUCCGAACUGCUUGUGAGGAAGGAGGCGCUGGAGAUCAGCAGCGGACGAGCGACAGAGAAGACGGACUACGAAGUGUACCGAGCGCAGCACGCGGCGCUGAGGGCCACACAGCAGUCGCAGGAGAAGGCCUCGCGAGACGCAUAUCAGGCGGUGCUGGACGGCUGGGCUGUGAAGUUGCGGCACGCGCUGGAGGUGCAGACGGCCCUCAACACCGAGCUGGACACGUUGAUGCCGCGCCUGGUGGCGGAGGCGACCGAGGAGGCGCAGGCGCAACGACUGCAAUUUGCCGAGUAGAGCACCGCGAAUUGAAGGGAAGCGGGUGGGCGCAGAGUUGCAACGAUUAGGGUGGCGUGAGGCUGUUGGUGGUGGUGUGGCUGAGGCGAGGGGAAGGGAAGGAGCAGAGGCCGCUCGUGGCGAAAAGCGGCCUCUGCUUUUAAAGUGGUGGACAGGGGGCGGUGGGGGGGCGGGCUAGACCGGGGGAAAGAACGGAUGUCUUUUUCCGAUCUUCUGCUAUCACCCUCCACUUCUUUGGUGCGCCUCCGCGCCAGCACCGUUGAAGCAGUAGGGUCUGAGUGUGACCAAGAACACCCGCGAUGGAGAGAGCGAGAGUCGAAGAUGCGCAGAGGGGAGCUCAAACUCAUUCGCGACGGUGGCCGUCUCCCUCCCUCGCGCCCUUCUGAGUUCUUUUAUGGCAGGUCGUAAAUACGGCUCACACACACACACACACGUCUCUCCGGCGUGGGAGAGGAGACAGUGCGGCCCAAGAACGACCCACCGGGCAACUCGGCGGCUUGCACAAGGAUUUGGUUCAAGAGUCAAACACCCUUCCACCUAGCGCGUAGCCGGUGUUCUAAUCGAUAGAGGGUGGAGGGCGAUCACCUAGAGGCGCUGUACGGCUGCUACUUAGCGACGUUGACUGCGCCACAUCAUCCUGCAGGGUCAAGGCGCGUCCGUGUGCGCUGUGGGCUCGUGGAUGGUUCAUCUCUCGCACGCCGCCGAUCUUGUGACCAGCGGAAUCGUUUUCACCGCUGCCAUCGACGAGUUGCUCUGCCUGCUUCACUCCUUCUUCGGCCGCUUUUCUUGCUGUGGACACACAUAG